GUUCCCUCGGAAGUUGUAAGUAGCCGGCCCGAUACUGUUAGCUCUCUGAGGAUUUCUUCUGAUGUUCAGUUUUCAAAUGAGAGAUUUGACGGAAAGCUGAAGAUGUGGGAAUUCUGGGAGCCAGUGCAGUGUGGACCUGCUGAGGACAACCGGGAUGUAAGCCAGAAUGGUCAGUCCUUCGGGCCACUAGCACAAGAGUUUGCCUUUCAACCAGCCAAACUUUCAGGAUCUCCUGGAGUUGCAAUGGAACCCUUGUUACCGGAUGACCCACCUCAAGAUUCCCUUUGAUACGGAAGUCACUCAAGAUAAUGCCUUUGCAGUGGAAGAUGUCAGCAAAGGACCAAGGCCUCCAGCAGCACAAAACUGUGGCGUCCUGGAAGAGAGAAAGAUUGAGCCAGGAAACCUGCUUACAGAUUUGCAUCCAUUCCUUAUAACAUCUGUGCUACAAAGAGCCGCACCUCCGGAGCUAAGAAGAGAGUGGAGGUGAGAUGCGCGUACAGAACUGGGCAGAAUGGACUGAAGGAACAGCACAGGCCGGAAAUGCUGGGACGUGGCAUGACCAGGGCAGUAAAGGGGACCCAUCGUGUCUGGACAUGUCUGGGUGUGUGCUUGACGGCAGUGAAGAUCUCUGCUUCCUGUCCUGCUGCUGAGAAGUCCCUGGGAAAAGCCAGGAGCCCAGUGCUGACCCUCAGAGGCCCUCCCACCGCACUCCCACUGGACACCCACCCACACUGGCCUGGGUAAUCCCUCCAGUUGUUGCUCCUGUGUCAAUAAAAAGGAAAGAAAAGAACACUCGGCAAGCAGCAAGAGUGUGAACACAGCCACUGCCUGAUGCCAAGAGCUGUUGCAGCUUCAACUUGCGGAGGAAAGGGAGGCACUGACAGUCCUGUAAUAGCUCUGAGAUUGUGUUAGUAGCCCUUAUGCAAGCAUUGAUCUGUGGCCACAGCUCUAGGAUCUGAAGUCCCCGAAGGCUCUAAAAGCCAAGUAUUGUUCUGUUUAUUCUGUGUGUGUUUUUUUAAAUGGUGGUGAAAUAUACAAUAAAGCCAUUGCCUU
rnacentral:lncRNA from 1 species